rnacentral:rRNA from 1 species
UUAGAUUAUAUUUAUUAAUUUUUCAUAUAUUUUUUGUAAAAUAUUAAAAAUAAUUAUAAAAAAUAAAGUUUUAGUAUUUGUUUAAAGAAAAAAUAAUUAUUAAUUAUAGUUUAAUAGUAUUGUAAAAGAAAAUUGAAAUAUUUUGAAAAAUUAUUAUUAUAAAAGAAAAUUUAAUUUAUUGUACCUUGUGUAUCAGCGUUUAUUAAAUAAAAAAUAAUUAAUAUUUAUUUUUCUCGAUUUUAAAAGAGUUAAUAUAUUAUAAAAGUUAAUGUGAUAAAAUUAUUUUUAAUAAUAUAUUAGAAAUGAAAUGUUAUUCGUUUUUGAAGGUAUCUAGUUUUUCAAGAAAUAAAUUUAAUUUAGAAGUUAUAAAUUUAUUUAAAAAAUUUUUUAAUUAAAUAUUUUAUAAUUUUAAUAUUUUAUGGGAUAAGCUAUAAAAUAAAUUUUUAAAAAUAAUAAAUAAAUUUAAUAAAUAUAUGCUUAAAAUUAGCAAUUGUUUUAAAUUAUGUUAUAAUUUAUUUUAUUUAAAUAUAUUAUUUAUUAAAUUUUAAGUAUUUAUUGAAAUAUUAAUUUUAAUUUUAAAAAUUAAGUAAUAAUGAUAAAAUUAGUAUAUUUUAUUGUAUAAUAAAUAUAAAUGAAAAGUUUAUGUAAAG